rnacentral:rRNA from 1 species
CUUGCUUUCUUUGCUGGCGACCGGCGCACGGGUGAGUAACACGUAUCCAACCUGCCCUUUACUCGGGGAUAGCCUUUCGAAAGAAAGAUUAAUACCCGAUAGCAUAAUGAUUCCGCAUGGUUUCAUUAUUAAAGGAUUCCGGUAAAGGAUGGGGAUGCGUUCCAUUAGGUUGUUGGUGAGGUAACGGCUCACCAAGCCUUCGAUGGAUAGGGGUUCUGGGAGGAAGGUCCCCCACAUUGGAACUGAGACACGGUCCAAACUCCUACGGGAGGCAGCAUG